rnacentral:rRNA from 1 species
GAUGAACGCUGGCGGCGUGCCUAAUACAUGCAAGUCGAGCGAACAGACGAGGAGCUUGCUCCUCUGACGUUAGCGGCGGACGGGUGAGUAACACGUGUAUAACCUACCUAUAAGACUGGGAUAACUUCGGGAAACCGGAGCUAAUCCCGGAUAAUAUAUUGAACCGCAUGGUUCAAUAGUGAAAGACGGUUUUGCUGUCUCUUAUAGCUGGAUCCGCGCCGCUUUAGCUAGUUGGUACGGUAACGGCUUACCAAGGCAACGAUGCGUAUCCGACCGGUCUGGGGGAUAGCCCGCCUGGGAGCGGGACCGGGGUCAUGACUCCUGCGGGAGGCCGCAGAAGGGUAUCGUCGGCAACGGGCGGAAGCAUGACGGAGCAGGGCGGAGUGAGAGAUAGAGGUGUUCGGAGCGGGAUGCUCUGUUAUGGGGGAUGAACCAAUGUCGAAGUAAAUAUGGCCGUAUUGACGGUACUGAGUCAGAAAGCCACGGCUAACUACGUG